CUCAAAAAGAACUCACGAUAAGUGGAAAAUUAGAAGAUCAGAUGAUCCCAUCAGAAUCCAAACAAAAGGACGAAGAAGAAAAUUCUUGGGAUUUAGAGAGUGACCGUGAGACUGUUUCACAGAAGGAUGUGUGUUUACUCAAGGCUACACCUCAAAAGAAUUCCAUACGAUAAGUGGA